rnacentral:rRNA from 2 species
UACAGAGGUCCCGAGCGUUGUUCGGAUUCACUGGGCGUAAAGGGUGCGUAGGUGGUUGUGCAAGUCUGAUGUGAAAUCUCCGGGCUUAACCCGGAAAUGGCAUUGGAAACUGCAUGGCUAGAGGGUUGGAGGGGGGACUGGAAUACUUGGUGUAGCAGUGAAAUGCGUAGAUAUCAAGUGGAACACCAGUGGCGAAGGCGAGUCCCUGGACAACACCUGACACUGAGGCACGAAAGCUAGGGGAGCAAACAGG